GACGAGCGCUGGCGGCGUGCUUAACACAUGCAAGUCGAACGAAGAGCGAUGGAAGCUUGCUUCUAUCAAUCUUAGUGGCGAACGGGUGAGUAACGCGUAAUCAACCUGCCCUUCAGAGGGGGACAACAGUUGGAAACGACUGCUAAUACCGCAUACGAUCUAAUCUCGGCAUCGAGGAUAGAUGAAAGGUGGCCUCUACAUGUAAGCUAUCACUGAAGGAGGGGAUUGCGUCUGAUUAGCUAGUUGGAGGGGUAACGGCCCACCAAGGCGAUGAUCAGUAGCCGGUCUGAGAGGAUGAACGGCCACAUUGGGACUGAGACACGGCCCAGACUCCUACGGGAGGCAGCAGUGGGGAAUCUUCCGCAAUGGACGAAAGUCUGACGGAGCAACGCCGCGUGAGCGAUGACGGCCUUCGGGUUGUAAAGCUCUGUUAAUCGGGACGAAAGGCCUUCUUGCGAAUAGUGAGAAGGAUUGACGGUACCGGAAUAGAAAGCCACGGCUAACUACGUG
rnacentral:rRNA from 1 species